rnacentral:rRNA from 1 species
AGCAGCCGCGGUAAUUCCAGCUCCAAUAGCGUAUAUUAAAGUUGUUGCAGUUAAAAAGCUCGUAGUUGAAUUUCGGGAUUAGUAAGUUGGUCGUGCCUCCGGUAUGUACUGGCUCUACUGGUUCCUCCUUCUUGAAGAACUGUAAUGUCAUUAAUUUGGUGUUGCAGGGAAACAGGGCUGUUACUUUGAAAAAAUUAGAGUGUUUAAAGCAGGCUAACGCUUGAAUACAUUAGCAUGGAAUAAUGAAAUAGGACGUUUGAUCCUAUUUUGUUGGUUUCUAGGAUUGACGUAAUGAUUAAUAGGGAUAGUUGGGGGCAUUAGUAUUCAAUUGUCAGAGGUGAAAUUCUUGGAUUUAUUGAAGACUAACUACUGCGAAAGCAUUUGCCAAGGAUGUUUUCAUUAAUCAAGAACGAAAGUUAGGGGAUCGAAGACGAUCAGAUACCGUCGUAGUCUUAACCAUAAACUAUGCCGACUAGGGAUCGGAUGAUGUUAAUUUUUUAAUGUACUCAUUCGGCGCCUU